rnacentral:tRNA from 1 species
GCCGGAGUGGUGGAAUGGCAGACACGCACGACUCAAAAUCGUGUCUCGCAAGAGGUGAGGGUUCGAGUCCCUCCUCCGGCA